rnacentral:rRNA from 1 species
AUGUCUAAGUUCAAACCCAUGCUAUGGUGAAACCGCGAACGGCUCAUUAUAACAGCCAUGAUUUACUUGAUCUUGAUUAUCUACUUGGAUAACUGUGGUAAUUCUAGAGCUAAUACAUGCACCAAAGCUCCGACCUUGCGGAACGAGCGCAUUUAUUAGAUCAAAACCAAUCGGGUAACACCGUGUUUUGAUGACUCUGAAUAACUUCAGCUGAUCGCAUGGUCUUGUACCGGCGAUUUGUCUUUCAAGUGUCUGCCUUAUCAACUUUUGACUGUAAGUUAUGUGCUUACAGUGGUUGUAACGGGUAACGGAGAAUAAGGGUUCGACUCCGGAGAGGCAGCCUGAGAAACGGCUACCACAUCCAAGGAAGGCAGCAGGCGCGCAAAUUACCCACUCUCAGUGCGAGGAGGUAGUGACGAAAAAUAACGAGGGUGUUCUCUUUGAGGCCACCUAUCGGAAUGAGUACAAUUUAAAGCCUUUAACGAGGAUCUAUGAGAGGGCAAGUCUGGUGCCAGCAGCCGCGGUAAUUCCAGCUCUCAAGGUGUAUAUCGCCAUUGCUGCGGUUAAAAAGCUCGUAGUUGGAUCUGCGCCUAGGGACUUGGUCUACCCUUGUGGUAUGUACUAAGAUCCCAGGCUACUUUUGCUGGUUUCUCCUUCGUGGCCUUUAUCGGUUGCGUUGGGUGGCUAGCGAGUUUACUUUGAAAAAAUUAGAGUGCUUAAAACAGGCGUUUGUCCUGAAUAUUUGUGCAUGGAAUAAUAGAAUAGGACUUCGGUUUUGUUUUGUUGGUUUUCUGAACUGAAAUAAUGGUUAAGAGGAACAGACGGGGGCAUUCGUAUCGCUGCGUGAGAGGUGAAAUUCUUGGACCGCAGCGAGACGUACUACUGCGAAAGCAUUUGCCAAGAAUGUUUUCAUUAAUCAAGAACGAAAGUCAGAGGUUCGAAGGCGAUCAGAUACCGCCCUAGUUCUGACCGUAAACGAUACCAACUAGCGAUCCGCCGGUGGUAUAACGCCCCGGCGGGGAGCUUCCCGGAAACGAAAGUCUUCCGGUUCCGGGGGAAGUAUGGUUGCAAAGCUGAAACUUAAAGGAAUUGACGGAAGGGCACCACCAGGAGUGGAGCCUGCGGCUUAAUUUGACUCAACACGGGAAAACUCACCCGGCCCGGACACCGUAAGGAUUGACAGAUUGAGAGCUCUUUCUUGAUUCGGUGGUUGGUGGUGCAUGGCCGUUCUUAGUUGGUGGAGCGAUUUGUCUGGUUUAUUCCGAUAACGAGCGAGACUCUAGCCUAUUAAAUAGUAUAUCUGAUAAAUGUGUCUGCAAUACUUCUUAGAGGGACAAGCGGUGCUUAGCCGCACGAAACUGAGCAAUAACAGGUCUGUGAUGCCCUUAGAUGUCCGGGGCUGCACGCGCGCUACACUGAAUGAAUCAGCGUGCAUUUUCCAUGUCCGGAAGGACUUGGUAAACAGUUGAAAAUCAUUCGUGAUUGGGAUAGGGAAUUGCAAUUAUUUCCCUUGAACGAGGAAUUCCCAGUAAGUGUGAGUCAUCAGCUCACGUUGAUUACGUCCCUGCCCUUUGUACACACCGCCCGUCGCUGCCCGGGACUGAGCCGUUUCGAGAAAUGCGGGGACCACUAGAUCGCAUCCUUUCGGGGUUGCUUUCGGGUGGGAACCGCCUUAAUCGCAGUGGCUUGAACCGGGC